UGGGGAAUAUUGCACAAUGGGCGCAAGCCUGAUGCAGCCAUGCCGCGUGUGUGAAGAAGGCCUUCGGGUUGUAAAGCACUUUCAGUCGUGAGGAAGGUAGUGUAGUUAAUAGCUGCAUUAUUUGACGUUAGCGACAGAAGAAGCACCGGCUAACUCCGUGCCAGCAGCCGCGGUAAUACGGAGGGUGCGAGCGUUAAUCGGAAUUACUGGGCGUAAAGCGCAUGCAGGUGGUUUGUUAAGUCAGAUGUGAAAGCCCGGGGCUCAACCUCGGAAUUGCAUUUGAAACUGGCAGACUAGAGUACUGUAGAGGGGGGUAGAAUUUCAGGUGUAGCGGUGAAAUGCGUAGAGAUCUGAAGGAAUACCGGUGGCGAAGGCGGCCCCCUGGACAGAU
rnacentral:rRNA from 1 species